UGAAAGUCAGGUCGGAUUAAGCCAUAGUACGGGAAAAACUAUGCUACCUGUGAGCCCCGUCCAAGGACGUAAAAAGAAGUCAGGCCAUUACAAAUGCCACAGCUUGAGCAAACUGUGCAGCCUGUAGCUCCACCUGAGGAGGUGUAAAAAACCCGGGAGGCCACAAACCAUGGAAGCUGUACGCAUGGCGUAGUGGACUAGCGGUUAGAGGAGACCCCUCCCUUUCAAAUCGCAGCAACAACGGGGG
rnacentral:lncRNA from 1 species